rnacentral:sRNA from 1 species
GCUGGACAUGGUGAUGCAUGCCUGUAAUCCUAGCCACUCAGGAGGCUGAGGCAGGAGGAUCACAAGUUCAAGGCCAGCCUCCUUCAGCAAAUUAGCAAGACUCUAAGCAACUUAGUGAGACCCUAUCUCAA